UGGGGGAUAUUGGACAAUGGGGGCAACCCUGAUCCAGCGAUGCCGCGUGUGUGAAGAAGGCCUGCGGGUUGUAAAGCACUUUCAGUGGGGAGGAGGGUAAGCGAGUUAAAAGCUAGAGUUACUGGACGUUACCCACAGAAGAAGCACCGGCAAACUCCGUGCCAGCAGCCGCGGUAAUACGGAGGGUGCGAGCGUUAAUCGGAAUUACUGGGCGUAAAGGGUGCGUAGGCGGUUUAAUAAGUUAUAUGUGAAAUACUUGGGCUUAACCUAGGUGCUGCAUGUAAUACUGUUAGGCUAGAGUAUGGUAGAGGGUAGUGGAAUUUCCGGUGUAGCGGUGAAAUGCGUAGAGAUCGGGAGGAACACUGGUGGCGAAGGCGGCUACCUGGACCAAUACUGACGC
rnacentral:rRNA from 1 species